rnacentral:rRNA from 1 species
AGUGAACGCUGGCGGUAGGCCUAACACAUGCAAGUCGAACGGUAGCACAGUAAGAGCUUGCUCUUACGGGUGGCGAGUGGCGGACGGGUGAGGAAUACAUCGGAAUCUACUUUUUCGUGGGGGAUAACGUAGGGAAACUUACGCUAAUACCGCAUACGACCUACGGGUGAAAGCAGGGGAUCUUCGGACCUUGCGCGAUUGAAUGAGCCGAUGUCGGAUUAGCUAGUUGGCGGGGUAAAGGCCCACCAAGGCGACGAUCCGUAGCUGGUCUGAGAGGAUGAUCAGCCACACUGGAACGGAGACACGGUCCAGACUCCUACGGGAGGCAGCAGUGGGGAAUAUUGGACAAUGGGCGCAAGCCUGAUCCAGCCAUACCGCGUGGGUGAAGAAGGCCUUCGGGUUGUAAAGCCCUUUUGUUGGGAAAGAAAAGCAGCAGGUUAAUACCCCGCUGUUCUGACGGUACCCAAAGAAUAAGCACCGGCUAACUUCGUG